AAGUCGUAACAAGGUUUCCGUAGGUGAACCUGCGGAAGGAUCAUUAACACUUUUAUUUUUUUGUUUUUUUUUUAAAAUAUAUUUUUUUUAAAAAAAAACAAAAAAAACAAAACCCCACAAUUUUGGAUGAAUUUAAUUUUUACUUUUAUUUAUUAAUUAUUAUAACUCUAUAAAUUUUAUUGACUAACAUUUAUUUAUUAUUUUAUUAAAUUAAAAAAACAACUCUUAACAACGGAUAUCUUGGCUCUC
rnacentral:misc_RNA from 1 species